UACGUAGGGUGCAAGCGUUGUCCGGAAUUAUUGGGCGUAAAGAGCUCGUAGGCGGUCUGUCGCGUCGGCUGUGAAAACUCGGGGCUCAACCCCGAGCCUGCAGUCGAUACGGGCAGACUAGAGUGCUGUAGGGGAGACUGGAAUUCCUGGUGUAGCGGUGAAAUGCGCAGAUAUCAGGAGGAACACCGAUUGCGAAGGCAGCUCGCUGGGACGUCACUGACGCUGAGACGCGAAAGCGUGGGGAGCAAACAGG
rnacentral:rRNA from 1 species